UAAUUGAUUUAUUCAAAGCUUUUCAUUUGAUACAUAUUAUUUUUUCUCUCCAGCUAAAAGUUAUCAAAGUGGAAAUCAGGGAGAGCCCCCACCUUACAAUGCUGUACCUCCCAGCAAGAAACCUCAAGGCUUUGACAACCAAGGUAUGGAUACAUCUGACCUCCAACAGACGCCGUCUCCCUCUCCAUCUGUGCAUGCCAUAACUACCAGUUAUACUAACUCUAGUUGUGAGUAGUUAUACUGUCACACCACUUUCAUUCUCAGCAUUUACUUUUCAAACUCAUCUAGUGCUUCUAAAGACCCAUAGACAGACUACCCCAAAAAAUUAAUUUUCACAACCCUCUGGCUGUAACUCACGGAAACAAAGAUAUAGGUUUCUAUAAAUGUAGACUUUUAUGGUGAAUCAAUACAACAAGGGAAGUGUCACUGUCAUAGCGCAGCAUGGUGUGCAUGAAUAAAGGUGCGAAUUGGUGUAAUGAAUGGAAGGGAUGUAAAAAGAGGAAGCCGGGAGAAAGUGACAGGAAGAGAGAUGAAAUGCUGAUGUUUACAUAAAUUGUUAUAAUAUCAAAGUAUUGCUAGAAUAA
rnacentral:sRNA from 1 species